ACUACGGGAGGCUGCAGUGGGGGAUAUUGCACAAUGGGGGGAACCCUGAUGCAGCGACGCCGCGUGGGUGAAGGAGUAUUUCGGUAUGUAAAGCCCUAUUGGCAGGGAAGAAUUUAGACGGUACCUGACUAAGAAGCCCCGGCUAACUACGUGCCAGCAGCCGCGGUAAUACGUAGGGGGCAAGCGUUAUCCGGAUUCACUGGGUGUAAAGGGAGCGUAGACGGCCAGGCAAGCCUGGAGUGAAAGCCCGGGGCCCAACCCCGGGACUGCUCUGGGAACUGUCCGGCUGGAGUGCGGGAGGGGCAGGCGGAAUUCCUGGUGUAGCGGUGAAAUGCGUAGAUAUCAGGAGGAACACCGGCGGCGAAGGCGGCCUGCUGGACCGCGACUGACGUUGAGGCUCGAAAGCGUGGGGAGCGAACAGGAUUAGAUACCCGGGUAGUC
rnacentral:rRNA from 1 species